UACAGAGGUCCCAAGCGUUGUUCGGAUUUAUUGGGCGUAAAGGGUGCGUAGGCGGCGGAGUAAGUUGGGUGUGAAAUCCCGGGGCUCAACCUCGGAAUUGCAUUCAAUACUGCUUCGCUCGAGUACUGGAGAGGAGGCUGGAAUUUACGGUGUAGCAGUGAAAUGCGUAGAUAGUCGUAAGGAAGGCCGGUGGCGAAAGCGAGCCUCUGGACAGUUACUGACGCUGAUGCACGAAGGCCAGGGGAGCAAACAGG
rnacentral:rRNA from 1 species